rnacentral:lncRNA from 10 species
CCAAAAAUCAAUUAUAUUUUAACAUUAGUCGUAAUCAUUAUUAUCAGGCAUAGCUUUUUAUGUAUGCAUUAAGUGCUUGUAAUUAUUGUUUUACCAUUCACAUUUUCAAAUUGCCUCUCUCUUUUCCUUUCACUAAGAUUAAAAUUCAAGGAUUUAUUCUUGAUCAAGAUAAAAGUAAUAUGACUGCCUUGUGUUCUAUUAUGCCUUGGGGAGUAUAAGUGAAGGGCACUUGGUGUCAAAUAACGACUCCUCCAUUGUGUAUUGUGUAUUGUGCAUUUAUUGUAUCUUCAAAAGAUAAACAUACACAGCAUUUCACCUAAUUUAACUUUGUUAGAUGGUUAUUUCAUCUCUUUUUUUUUCUACUUAUCCUCUGUGACAUUUACUGUCAUAAGGAAAGUUAAAAAUUAAAAACAAAAGUUACCUAUGUCUCAAAAAUGUGAAGCAUGAACUGUUGGUGUUCUAGCAUCAGGCACUUCAUUGAUAUGAUCGCAAGAAUAAAAGAAAAUGUAUAUUUGAUACUUAAGAUUUAAGAUGGAUCACAUUCUCCCAUACUUAAUAAUCUUUCCUGGUAUUAUUGAAAAACUUAUGUUAGUAAUUAAAUAGUUAAAAAUUUAAUCAAGUUUAAGUAACUAUGGUUUAAAGAUACUUUAAUAUAAAGAUAUGUUAACUAGGUAUAAAGUUGUUAGCUAGGCAAAUGUAAGGGAGAGAGAGAGAUUUUAAAAAAUAUUUCUUUUGUUGCAACUGUAAAAGGUAACUUCCAUCCCAAGGGUUGGGACAAACAGGUAAGAAGUUAUACUUACUAAAACUCAAAAGCUGAGAUAAGUGUCCCUGUAGAAUUCAAGCUCAGAUAUCUGAGAGUGUGUGAUUCAACUACAGAUAUGAAGGAUCUGCUCUUGCCAAGGUAAAGAGAUGGUACUCCCGUGACACUCAAAGGAACUGCAAACAGAAAGGAUACAAACAGGAAGACUAAAGGAAGUACAUAUGAAAAAUUAGUGUCUUCCUCUAGGCUUGCAAGCUACUACUAGUGCCCUUUCUUGGUAAGGCCUAACAAGGAGCCACUUUCAAGGGAGAAAUGUGAUUUAUAAGACAUAUCCUAUGAAUCACAAAGUAGAAUAUGGGAGGAAAGGUUUAAACUUGAAAGUAAUCGAUUAAAAAGUAGUCAGUCCACCUCUUUGGCUGUUCAGCAUUCAUAUGCACAUUUCAACACAUAUUUAAAUGUUUGAAAUAAUCUUAAACUUGUAUCAAAUUUGCUAAUAAAGCACAAUUUUUCCCUUUGAACUAGUUGAACAUAAUCACAGAAUGAAACAGUUACACAAUACUCCAUUAUCUAUGAAUAAUUUGUGGGUAUGUAUUUUUUAGAAACAAAGAUAUUUUCUAACAUAAUCACCAGAAUAAGAAUAUUAACAUUGACACAUUAUUGCCAUCUAAUCCUCAGCCUUCAUUCAACUUUCAACAAUUGUCUUAAUAAUUUACUUUAUCGUAAAACUAUCCAGUUCAAAAUAAAACUGUUUGCUUUUAGUUGUCAUGUGUCUCAUUUUCUUUGAAAUUACUUUGACUUUCCUAUUCUGUAUAAUUUCUAAAACUAUGGAACAAGUGUUUUUGUAGAAUAUUUCCAGGUUUGGGAAACAAUUUGAGUAUGCACUUAGCUUUUUCUUUUUUUUUCUUUUUUUUUUUUUUAGAUUUUCUAAUGGUUAGACUCUGACUCUAAUGGUUUGGCAAUAAUAUAACAAAAAUGCUGCUAUGUUCUUCUCAUUGCAUGCUAACCAUGAUGUAGAAUUUCAGUGUAUAUGAACACUGGUAAUAUUUAAUUUGAUCUCUCAGAAAAAUAGCUGUAUCUGUCACUUCUUCCAUGUAAAGUUACUCUAUUUUCCUUUAUAAUUAAUAAAUACUUGUGGGAAGAUACCUUGAAACUAUGUAUUAGGUUGGUGCAAAAGUAAUCACGGCUUUUGUACUAAAACCGAUUAAUUUUGCACCAGCCUAAUACAUUUCCAAUUUUCAUUAAAUCUUUAUUUUUCUAUUUAUUGAUACAAGUAUGGACUCAUGGGUUUCUAUUUUAUUCAAUAACAUGUAAGCAAUUGUAAUCAUUUUGCUUUAGUCUGUUUCUGCUGCUUGUAGCAAAAUGCCUAUAACCGCGUAACUUAAGAAGAAAUACAUUUAUCUCUUAGAGUUACAUAGGCUGGGAAGCCUAAGGUUGAGGCGGUACAUCUGGUGAGAGUCUUCUUGCUGGUGGGGACUCUCUGGGGCAUCCUGGGGUGAUAGAGGCUAUCACAGAGUGAGGGGGCUGAGCAUACUGGUGAUAUCUUAGGUGAUAUCUCAGUUUUCUCAAUUCUUACAAAGCCACCAGUUCCUCUCUCAUGAUAAUUUACUAAUCCAUUAAUCCGUAAUUGAAUUAAUCUAUUCAUGAGGGCAGAGCCCUCCUAAUUCUAUCACCUCUUAAAGGUCCCACAUCUCAAUACUGCCACAUUGGGAAUUCUGUCAAUGUGAGUUAGAGGGGACAGAUAUUCAAAUCAUAGCACAUAGUUUAAUUUUGAAGUUAAAAUGACCCAAAGUUAAUACGAGCAUCUGUUUCCUUUUAACACAUAUACAUCAUUCUUUGAGUGCAUCUGUAUUUUCUGAUGCAUCAAGAUGUUCCAGGUGCAUCAUGUACUUUUCAUGUUCAUCAGAGAAAAGUCUUAAAAUAUCAAUUUGAAGUGCUAAAAAUAAAACUCACGGUACCACAGGUUCCCAAUUCCUUUAAUAGGCUGAAGGAAAUACCCAACCUGAAAUAUCAAGAAGAAAAGAGAGGAAAUAUCAGGGAAAGCAGAGCUGAAUAUCCAUGGAUCACAGAAUAAUAUCAAAUUGCUUAAUAUACCUGUAACCAUCACCCCAGAAAAAGCAAAUAUAGAUAGCAAGAAAACAUUCUGAGAAGAAAUAAAAUAUUUUAUGAUAUAGAGAGAAAAACAACAAACAACAACUCCAAUCUUACUCAAUUCCCCAACUCCAUUUAAGAUACUAAGAUAACCUUUAUACCAACUCCAAACAAGAUCAGUAUGAGAAAAAAAAAGAACCAGUAAAAACCCUCAGUAAACACAUAUGCAAAAAGUCUUAAACACAAAUAGAAAGUUGCAUAGACAGAUAAACU